ACCAAGACCUGCCUAGCCAGUGCCAGUUACUCCGGAUGAAAACGACCCACCUGGGCUCACCCCUUGCUCACAUAGACGACCUGUUGCUGGCCAGAAACACAACCGCUGGACAUGUCACCCCAGACCAAAGAGAGUUGUUCUUACUUUUAAAACAAAACUUGUCCUCAAGCAUUCAGUACAUAUCAUCCUGAUCAUCAUGUGGUCGUGAAUCUGUAAUUGCAAGAUUCCCAUCCGUGCCAUCUGCAUCCAGUUCAAAUAAUAAAGAUGAUUUUUCUUCUCAAUGACUUGAAUUGCUUGAAUGUGACCUCGAAUCAGACAUCCUAUCCUUUGUUUUCAGAGACACAAUCAUACUUGGUUGGUAUGGCAUGAAAUUGCAACCACCUACCGCCCUGUAAAAGCAAUAAAAAUCAUCAGCCAUAUGUA